AGAGCAAACAUUCCAUUUUGUUUCAAUCCGUGGAUUUUAUUUCAAGUUCACGACACGGUGUAAUUCUGACUCGACGCACGAAUAUAUUGUUGUCGUACCGAUCGCGAGUGAAAGGAGUUCGAGCAGCAUGACUACUGUGUGAAACUGUUGAUAUUGAAAAGAUUGUGAAGUCCUUGUAUUCUUUUAUUUUGAUACGUGUGUUUAUAAGUUGUGAAAAAUGGUUCAGGAGUUUGUGGCUCCAACGAGGGUACAUAAGUAUCCCUUCGAGAUGGUGAUGGCCGCAUACGAGAGGCGGUUCCCCAGCUGCCCCCAGAUCCCGGUGGUGGUGGAAUGCGCUAUUACAGAGGACAGCUGGUCAGCAGACGACUCCGUGAGACUGACUACAAGGCGGUGUCAGCUCAACGUGGAAGCUCCUUAUCUUCUUAAAAAAAUGAUUGGCGUUGACUAUAUCUACUUCAUCCAGAAGAACAACUUGGACCUCAAGAAAAGGGUCUUGGAGAUCGAAGCCACCAACGAGACCUUCGCCUCCAGGGUCGGGGUUGUCGAGAAAUGUAAAUACUAUGUGUGCCCAGACAACCCAGACUGGACGUGCUUCGAGCAGAGCGCUCUACUGGAUGUGAAGAACUUCUUCGGCCUCGAGAACACUGUGGAGAAGAUCGCCAUGAAGCAAUAUGCUUCCAAUAUUGCCAAGGGUAAGGAACUGAUCGACGUAUUCAUGAAGGAGGUCCACAACGAUGGCGUGACCAAGCUCAAGCCCUGGAAGAAAAAUGACAUCGCGUACAACCGGGAGCUCCGCCAGGCGGUGACCAGGGGAACCGAGCCGCUGUCCCCCAGGCUGUCUAUUGCUGAUCUCAGGAAAUAUUCCGACUCAGAACAAUACACGAUGGACAGCGAGUACAUCAAGCGGCACCUGGGCGAGCUGAGCCCGGUGCAGGAGUCGCGUCUGCUGCAGCUGCGCAAGUGGAUCAAUGACCUGCAGAAGGGCAAGGUCCCCAGCGACACAACCCUGCUCCGUUUCCUCCGCGCCCGAGACUUCAACGUGGAGAAGGCCAGAGAGAUGCUCUCCCAGUCGCUGCUGUGGCGCAAGAAGCACCAGGUGGACCGCAUUCUCUCGGAGUACGAGACUCCUGACGUUGUCAAGCAGUACUUCCCUGGAGGCUGGCAUCAUCAUGACAAGGACGGACGUCCGCUGUACAUUCUGAGAUUGGGACAGAUGGACGUGAAGGGACUACUCAAGUCUAUCGGAGAAGAUGGCCUCUUGAAGUUGACACUUCACGUAUGCGAGGAAGGUCUAAAACUUCUAGAAGAGGCGAGCCGCUCGUCCAACAGCGCCGUCUUAUCCUGGUGCCUGCUGGUGGACCUCGACGGGCUGAACAUGCGUCACCUGUGGCGGCCAGGAGUGCGGGCGCUGCUGAGGAUCAUUCAGAUCGUGGAGGCUAACUACCCGGAGACCAUGGGCAGGGUGCUGAUCGUGAGGGCGCCCAGAGUCUUCCCUAUAUUGUGGACUAUUGUUAGCACUUUUAUUGACGAGAACACCCGAAGUAAAUUCUUAUUCUACGGCGGCAAGGACUACCUGCAGCCAGGAGGUCUGCUUGACUACAUACCCAAGGAUCUCAUUCCCGACUUCCUUGGAGGACCAUGCAAGAGCUUCGUGCACGAAGGAGGGCUGGUGCCGAAGAGUUUGUACGUGAGUGGAGCGUUCACGGAGCGAGAGGGCGACCCUCUGAGUGAGGAUAGCAUUUAUAGAUCUGUCAGCUUGGGGAAGGGACAGGUGCACGAAGUCAUAGUACCAAACCGCGACCCUCAAAGUGUGCUGACGUGGGACUUCGACGUGCUGCGCCACGACAUCGCCUUCACGGUGUACCGCAGUGACCACGAGCUCUCCCAUCCACCGGCUGAUCCCUCAGCGCUGUGCGUAGGUGGCGGCGACGAGGCGCGCUCGGUGCUGGACCAGAAGGGCUGGCGGGAGGGAGAGCAUUUCCACCGCGUAGAGCCAACCCUCGUCUGCCAUGAUGGGGAGAGCAUACAGGGCUCGCACGUGAUGCUGGAGUGCGGCAGCUACGUGCUGCAGUGGCGCUGCGACGCGCCCGACAGCGCGCACCGCGCCGCGCAGCUCAUGUACUUCCACGAGACCCUCACCAGCCACCACUACAACUCGCCGCCAAGUUUUCCUAAAUCUUCAUCGGACAACGGCCAUCCAAGCUCUGCGAAUUGAACAAAAAUAGACAUAAUAUCAUAUCUAUAUUAAAGAGUCAAUUACUUAUAUAUGUAUGAAAAAAAUAUUUAUUUAAUUUAUCGAUGAUAUUAUGACUGUGUCAAGAUGCCAUGAAAAUGUAGGAUGAAAGAAAAUACAAAAGGAUCAAUGUCCAGCCUGCAAUCCGGCACAAGUGGUUUCUCCUGCCUCAGCGGCAAGUCCGUAGCCAGUAGCUGUCCCUCUCGGUGAUGCGAGCUUCCCGCGACGCACGCGCCGCUCCUCACCGACCUAAACCAGCUUUAACCGGUUAAAAGUGAACCUUGCGAACAGAGGUACGUUACACGAGGUAACAAUAAGGUAACAAGUUAUUUUGUUGUUCACUUAUAAGUAAAAAAGUGAGGGGUGGUAUAUGACCACCUAAGUGAGUGAAUUGACUAACCUUUCACAGGUUUAGUGUUAGACUUAGUGACAAAAAGUUACAUUAUAUUUAGUUCAAAGUUAUUUCUUAUAAUAACUGUCGGAUUUGAUAUAGGUACGAAUAAUAGACCAUGCAACUGAAUUGUUGUAAAAUAGUUUUUAAUGUUUAAUUUUAAUUGUAAUGCAAUUAAUAAAGGGGUUACGAUGGUAAUAAAAUACAAGAUUUUGAAUCGUUAAUUUUAUUUCAUUUUUGCAUAAUUGGUUUGACAACCGUUAAAUGUGCGGGCAUUUCCUAUAUGUCGAUAGUUCUAGAAUUUUCUGUAUGUAUCUUAGAACUAUGUAACAACUAUAAUCUGUUUUCUCCUAAACAUCAAACAUUGUCCAGUUAUUGUGUAGUAAUGCCUUUAAAAUAAAUACAUUAAAGUAUGUCACGAUCUCAUUGCGUCCUUGAGUAUCCACGUAAUGUAUGUAUGUUCAUAAACGGCUUUAUAUAAAGGCGUGUUCAGACGUCGAGAGUUAGUUGGCGAAAAUAAUGUUGUGACGUGAAUACUUUCUUAGCGAAAGUUAGUUUGAAAUCUAUCCUUGAGAGAUGGUUUCUGUAAGUAAAUCUUGUAGUUACGAACAUUGUAAUGUAAUUUACUCUAUAUUUCUGUAGGAGUAAUUAAUUCCUUAUGGUAGCUUAGUAAAAUUAUUCUAACAACAGUGGAAAUCGACCACUACAAUCUCUCCGUCUGAACAAGCCAGAAUCACUGUGACAAAUCAUAGUCUUUAUAUAAUAUUUUUUCAUUAUCGCAGCCAUAAAACGUGUUAACUAAAACGUAGCGAAUAUGCCAAACAGAUUUCAACCUUAUACGGAAUAUAUAAAGUCUAUUUUUCAAUGUCUAGCUAAAUAUAUGAAUAAAAUGUUUGUAUGUACAUUUAAUCGGUCGUAAAUAACGCAUGUUUAAACUUCAAGUGUAAAGGUAUAAUAAUUCUGUAACUAUGUGGAAUUGAAAAGCGGCCUAAGGUAAAUUAGGUAAAAGAAGUGACCCUAUUUUAAAAGAAAUAUGCUCUAAGAUCGAUAGAGGAUCUAUUUUAUAAAUACUAAUUUCUCUAUCUUUCUGUUCGGGUCUCAAAACAUGCGUUAUAGACUUGUUUCAUAGAAAUGUGCUAAAUAAACAGAUAUGUAGCCAAAUUAAAUGCUCAGAAUAAUAUGUAUAAGGUAACAAAGAGUUGGGUACAAAAUUGUGUUAGGUACGAGGCUUUUAGUCCAGGAGCCGGUGUUGCAAUAUAUCAAAAAAUAUUACUAAAUAGUAAUAUUUACUUAUCACUUUCUCUUUAGCUGGUAUAAAUAGAAGUGCAGAGUAUUUUUAUACAGAGCUUGUUACAAUUGAAUGUGAAAAUUAAUUGACUAAGCUCCUGGCCUAAUUUUGCCGGCAUGUGUCACAUUGAGCGGUAAAUAAAACAUCUUGUUUAUGACAAUUUUAAAUGUUAUUUAACAAUUUAUAUACAUUUUCUAGAUAUUUCCUUAUUUUUAUGAUUUUAUCGCAAAUUAUAAAUCAACAUUUACAAUUUGUGGCACUAACUAUAUAGUAUGUAUACAGCAUCUUAUAAGGCAAUUACUUUCAAAGAAAAUUGCACUAUUUAUAUAGCUCUAUAUAUCUAAUACAUCAUUGGAUUGGCUAUACUAAAUACUACAACCUUGAAUUUUUCGAUAAACUAUUAACAAUCUUUCUAUCCAACAAAAUUUAGUUUUUCUUUCUUCUUCUCAUUUUCAAGAUGGCGCCAUUUCCCGCUCAACAUGACACCCGCCAUAUAUUUACGUGAAGCGUAAGGAUUGUAACUCAAUAUUUGAGAAAGUUCCGUAGUGACGACAUUUGAUAGGUCAACUAACAGAUUGCACAUAUUUUUCCGUACAUAAUAAUAUAUUGUAUGUAUGUAUUUUAUAUAAGUGUAACUAGAUGUAAAAUAGCAAGGAAUUGACGUGUUUUGAACUGAGAAUACAAAUGCUUGACGGAUGAGGAGUACAGAGUAGGAAAAGAUUGUCUUUAUAUAGUAUCUCUUAUAAGCUAUGACGUAAACAUUCAUGUUAAAGGCAUCUGACAUUUUGAGUACAUAACGUAACUUACUGAAAAUCUAUUUUAAAACUAUUGUGUAGUGAAAUUAGUUGUAUUAUAACGCGUGUUAGUGAUAUGUAAAUGGAUUUAUUAUAAGUAUUUACUAACAUUUAAGAUAAUCAGAGAAUCUUCGAGAACAUUGAAUUAAACUGUGUGGUACAGAUGCUGUUUCUAACUACUCUUACAAAAUUAAUUAAAAAUAAUCACUUUUCACAUAUUUUCUCGUUAUACAAAUCAAACCAACCUUCAUAGUAAUACAAACAACGUUAGUAUCCAAAUACUUUUCGAUAAGCUACCAGACAUUACGGCAACGCAUAGUAAACCUUACUCCGUCUAUAUAAAGUUCACAUUUAAUUGACAUAGCAGUAAUUAUCGUCAAAAUCAAUUAUUUUUCAAUUAAUGUUAGGUGGGAUUGAUAUCUGAUUGUGGACGGUAGGUGGCGCUGCAGCGUUACGUAAUAGAGUUUUUAAAUCUAGCGAAUUGUAGGAUAUUCUAAUGAGUAAAAUUGAUUUUGAACAAUAUUGCAAAUUAUAGCGCAGUGGCUACAUGUGACGAAUCCGGUGGGUCUUAAAAGAACUAAUUUUAAUUAUCAAUUAGCAGGAAAUUCAAUUUGGGAUAUCAAUUUGAUCCUUAUGCCCGUUGUCGUAAUACUUCAAUUGUAAAAAUAAAAAAUUCUAGAAGUCCUUUAUUGAAAAAUAGUUCUAUAAACACAUACAAAAUUAUUAUUACCACAGAAAAGUUUAUUUUUGAUAAAUCAAUAAAACAAUAAAAAAAACUUUGAAUAGCUUUAAUAUUUUUUGUAAAUGCAUCGCAUAUCGCCUACGCAAGUAAUUCGGAAUUGAGAUAACAAUAUCAUGUAUGUAUUAAAUUAUUUUAAUAAAAUUGCAUUUGCUACAGGGAUUUUGUAUUUAUUUUCAGUUUAUAGCACAAUUUUACAUAAUUGUAGAAAUAGAUCUGAUGUCUUAUAUGUAUUUCUAUGUUUUUUUUUUGUAUUUCAUUUUGUACCAUUAUUUCUAGAUAAAACAACAGCUAAAAUAUGAAAGUGUCUAGUGUUAUUUCUAGAAACUAGUUUUGAUAACUCUCCGAUUAUUAAGACGAUUUAAUACAAUAAAAACUCUUUUUUGAAGUCGGUUAAACUUGACUACAUUUCAAGUUGAUUAAGUAAAUGCUAAUAUUUAGUUAUUAAAAUUAGUUUUGUGAUGUCUUAUCGACAACUAUUGUAAUUUAGACGAUUCAUUUCUAAUCGAUAUGAAAAUUAUAUCGAUUCAUUUGUAAUUUUUAAGUAAUGGAAUUCUUUAGUGUUGUGAAUGAGCAAUUUAUUUUUAGUUUGUAAGACAUACAAUAUUAAAUGAAUAUGUAUAAAAAGAUAAACAAAAAAAUAUCGAUUGUAAGCGCGAAGUUGAUCCUGUCGAAGAGUUAUUUAUUUAUUUAAGGAUUUCACGUUAAGAACAAUAAAAAUAAUGUUAGUAGAAUUUAUUGAACUAUUGAAAUAAAAAUCUAUGAUAACGGA
rnacentral:misc_RNA from 1 species